rnacentral:rRNA from 1 species
UAAGACAUGCAAGUCGAACGAAAUGGUCCAAUGAAGAUUGAGUGCUUGCACAAGAUUGAAUUUGGAUCGCCAUUUAGUGGCAGACGGGUGAGUAACACGUGGGUAAUCUACCUCAAAGAACUGGGAUAACAGUUAGAAAUGACUGCUAAUACCGGAUAAUUUAUAUUUAGAUAACUAUUUAUACUAAAAGGAGCUUUUGCUUCACUUUGAGAUGAGCUUGCGGCGUAUUAGCUAGUUGGUAGGGUAAUGGCCUACCAAGGCGACGAUGCGUAGCCGAACUGAGAGGUUGAACGGCCACACUGGGACUGAGACACGGCCCAGACUCCUACGGGAGACAGCAGUUAGGAAUAUUCGUCAAUGGAGGAAACUCUGAACGAGCAAUGCCGCGUGAGUGAUGACGGUCUUUAUGAUUGUAAAACUCUGUUGUAGAGGAAGAAACCUUACUAUAGGUAAUGAUAGUAAGCUGACAGUACUUUACUAGAAAGCCCCGGCUAACUACGUG